rnacentral:rRNA from 1 species
UGGGCUUGAACUGCAGUGGACAGCCUGUGAAAGCAGGUCUUCCUUCGGGACUGCUGUAGAGGUGCUGCAUGGCUGUCGUCAGCUCGUGUCGUGAGAUGUUGGGUUAAGUCCCGCAACGAGCGCAACCCUUGUCCUUAGUUGCCAUCAGGUUAUGCUGGGCACUCUAGGGAGACUGCCCCGGAUGACGGGGAGGAAGGUGGGGAUGACGUCAAGUCCUCAUGGCCCUUACGUCCAGGGCUACACACGUGCUACAAUGGCCGGUACAGUGGGAAGCAAUGCCGCGAGGUGGAGCCAAUCCCCAAAACCGGUCUCAGUUCGGAUUGGAGUCUGCAACUCGACUCCAUGAAGU